GACGAACGCUGGCGGCGUGCUUAACACAUGCAAGUCGAACGGAAAGGCCCUGCUUUUGUGGGGUGCUCGAGUGGCGAACGGGUGAGUAACACGUGAGUAACCUGCCCUUGACUUUGGGAUAACUUCAGGAAACUGGGGCUAAUACCGGAUAGGAGCUCCUGCUGCAUGGUGGGGGUUGGAAAGUUUCGGCGGUUGGGGAUGGACUCGCGGCUUAUCAGCUUGUUGGUGGGGUAGUGGCUUACCAAGGCUUUGACGGGUAGCCGGCCUGAGAGGGUGACCGGCCACAUUGGGACUGAGAUACGGCCCAGACUCCUACGGGAGGCAGCAGUGGGGAAUAUUGCACAAUGGGCGGAAGCCUGAUGCAGCAACGCCGCGUGCGGGAUGACGGCCUUCGGUUUGUAAACCGCUUUCGCCUGUGACGAAGCGUGAGUGACGGUAAUGGGUAAAGAGGCACCGGCUAACUACGUG
rnacentral:rRNA from 1 species